rnacentral:rRNA from 1 species
CACGUAGGCACCAAGCGUUGUCCGGAUUUAUUGGGCGUAAAGAGCUCGUAGGCGGUUCGAUAAGUCGGGUGUGAAAACUUUGGGCUCAACCCAAAGCGUGCAUUCGAUACUGUUGUGACUAGAGUUCGGUAGGGGAGUGGGGAAUUCCUAGUGUAGCGGUGAAAUGCGCAGACAUUAGGAGGAACACCGGUGGCGAAGGCGCCACUCUGGGCCGAAACUGACGCUGAGGAGCGAAAGCGUGGGGAGCAAACAGG